rnacentral:rRNA from 1 species
CGGGACGGGUGAGUAAUGUCUGGGAAACUGCCUGAUGGAGGGGGAUAACUACUGGAAACGGCAGCUAAUACCGCAUAAUGUCGCAAGACCAAAGAGGGGGACCUUCGGGCCUCUUGCCAUCGGUAUGUGCCCAGAUGGGAUUAGUUUGUUGGUGGGGUAACGGCUCACCAAGGCGACGAUCCCUAGCUGGUCUGAGAGGAUGACCAGCCACACUGGAACUGAGACACGGUCCAG